GUUUCAAGCCUUGGAUCUGAGCCGCCACCUCUAUUGUGCAGUAGAUGAGCCUAACCCCUCGCUUUCUUGCUAUGCAUCGGCCGCUCCUCCAUUUCCUUUCUAGCACCUCAUAUGUCGGCGUUCAGCAUUCCGGCAAAAUCAGGUAUUAAGGCAAACCAGAUUCCAACGACUCUAGCCAACCAUUAGAGCAGCCGCAACCAUGGCCGCAAAGAGACCGAAGGAAACGGAAUUGUCGAGAUGGCCAUAGGCUACCAUCAAUAUGGGCAAGAUAUGACUACAGCAGCAAUGCAGCCUUGCAGGGAUGCUAUCUCUUUCAAUUCAAUUCCUGAUUUCUGAAGAGAAGAAGAAGAAGAAGAAGGAGGAGGAGGAUAUAUCCUCUCUCUCUCUCUCUCGAGUUACCUUCUCUCUUGACUCUCCUCUCUAUAUUUCAGAAGAAUAUUCACAGAAACCUUGGUUGAAAGUGAUCUCACCAUCCACAGCAGUCCGCAGCAGUCCACCUCUUCAAUUGUUCACAUCAUCACUCUCAUCUGGUUUGGGUCAAUGGAUGGUUCCAAUGUCUCAUGUAUUUAAAGAGUUAAUCUAAUGAAGGAAACAGCAAGAGUCAUAUUCAAUGUCAUCUUCUUUGUUAUGAGAUCUGAGGAUGUUUUCCCUCAACGCCUCGCCCUCGUCUUGCUCUUGAGCUCAAAGGAUCUGGGUCGUGUCUUGAGAAUUCAUCCCACAAGCUCCUCUCUCAACGCCUCGCCCUUUUCUUGCUCUUUAGCUCAAAGGAUCUAGUGCAAAUAUCAACUUGUGGUUCUCUUCAGGAUUUGACUUUCUAAUUGCGUGCCAAUUUCCCUUGAAUUACAACUUAUAAGGUAGCUGACAGGCACAUAGCCUUCACACAGUUGAACCUGGUGAUUGUAUGGAUAGGAAGCAGCAUAUUGCAAUAUUUACUACUGCGAGUCUUCCAUGGAUGACUGGAACUGCUGUUAAUCCUCUAUUUCGUGCUGCAUACCAUACAAGAGAUGGGGAGAGAAAGGUUACUUUGGUGAUUCCAUGGCUAUCUUUAAAGGAUCAACUAAGAUCAAGUGUGCAUUUGGCCAAGUCUUUCUUAUUGGAAGAAGAUCCAAUCAUGCCCGGAGCUUUAGUGACCAAAUUUUUUUAUGUGGUACAGUUAGUUCAAAGCAUAUAAGGGAAAUUUCUGCAUUCACUCAAACAAAUUCUCCUAUCCGAAUGUGGAUCAGGUCAUUCUCUUCAGACUGCGGUACGUGUUACAUGUGUGCCAUUAAGAAGAUUUUUUGCUGGGGAUCAUCCUUUUCUCAAAGCAGCUUAAACUUAAAUUCUCCAUUGUUGUGCUUUAGAUGGCUUGGUUGAUGCUAUCCUCCCUUUCAUGGGUGAAUCUAUCAUGGAUGGCACAUUGGCAAAGUUUUUGAAGAGUAUGUUGUGUUAUUAUUUGUCUCUAUUUUUGGUUUGAGUUUGUGAACAUGCAAAAUACAUAUGAGAAAAGGAUGCUCCAGUCAUUUCAAAGAA